GAAGGACAAAGUGCUGGCUUGGGGGAAAUAAAUGGGCUCUACAGCCUGUCUGAGCUUUUGAGCCAGAAGCCCUAGUUGUACAAGAAGGAACCUUUAGGUUUGCUAGAAGAUUACUCAAAGUUAAUGAAAGAGGGGUUGUUCCCUCAAAGCCAGGAGGACAGCUUCUCACAGACUUCCAGCACACUGCUGGGAUGGAAAGCUGUGGGCUGGCUGAGCAGUGGCUUGAGGUUUUCCUACUCUCAACUUCUAUUCACUGGUGCAGGUGCCUUCAUCAGACAUGAGAACACAGUUGUGUAUCCAGCACCCAGAAUAAAAGAACAUAAAACUACCAGUACCCCAGAAGAUCCCCAGAUGGGAGCCUUCAUCUAGAUUCCUUUCCUUUUUUUCCUGGUUUUUGUAGAGCAAAAAAAUCAUAUACUGAUCAUCCUUCUCUGCCUGGAUUCUUUUUGUUUCUUUUGUUCUUUUUUAUUGUUUUCAGACAGGGUUUCCUUUUGUAGCCCUGGAUACCCUGGAACUCACCCUGUCGACCAGGCUGGCUUCAAACUCUCACAGAGAUCUGCCUGCCUCUGCCUCCUGAGUGCUGGGGUCAAAGAUUUGGAAACUGGACUUGAAGAGGUUAGCACUUGGCAAAGCGACAUGACUGUAGACCCCCAUUCUGGAACCAGAAGCCAAAAUAACCUCUGUCUUCUGAUACUGCUUGGAAGAGUGAAUCCAUGAUCUGAGGAGAUCGCUUAUGUGAGGAGGAGGCAGAUGUGAGAAAUAGGACAUUAAACUAUGAUUUGGAGGAGGAAUAAAUGGGUACCCGCUGAAGACCUAAACUACUGAGAAUCAGUCAUCCAGGAGAUCAGACAGGGACCAUGUCUACUCCUUAAUUUGAAUGAACACUCAAGAACUACUGCAGGAAAAUGGGGAAGAGGCCCAAGAAUGGGAUAAAAUUCAGAAAGUAUGCUCUCAUAGAAACGUCGAAGAACAGUGGAUGCAUUGUUGAUCUGAAAAUAGGUUUAGAAGCAGCACUAAGUUCUGGUACCCAUAAUUCAUUGCGAUGAAACUGGUUGACAAAGGAAGUGGUUGACAGCUGUCAGAGAAGGAUCUGCCAAAACUGAACAGUCAGCCCCACCCGAGGAGGGCUGAGGGUGGAAGGCUAAACACCCUGACCAUCCAUUUCUCCACACGCCCACAUUCAAGGUUGCUGAGAGUGCCGCCCAGCCUGCAGUUCAGGAGAUCUGGAUGUCCCUGAGGUAAAUAACCAUGAGUAUAUUCAUUCAUUCCACAGAAACUCAUGGAACCCCCAUAACACCCUAAGAACCACAGAGAACAGCCAAGUAAUGGGAAUAUUCCAGCAUCUCUAUGAGUCAGAGUGAUGCUAUCCAACCCAUCUGGAGCAGAGGGAAGGGUAUUAUGGGAACAGGGUUUGGUCAAAGAGAAGCACCGAUCUACACCUCCUUCCUUGUUACUCUUAGUUCUGGUGCACAUAUUGAUGCCGUAAGGACACAGCUGCAUCAUUAAUGGGGAUAGUACCACAAAACCAAUUGUGUUUUCUUCUAGAUUCUAGCUUAUUCCACUCAAUUCACCAAAUAUCUGUGAUGUACCAACUGGGUGUCUAGUGUUGGAGCUGUAAACAUGAACGUCUUCUUUAGAAAUGGUCUCCCUUCCCUCAACAAAGUACAAGUGGCACAUCUAGGCAACUUCAAAUCCAGACACUGAUCCAAGAGACCUGAAUUCCUCUGUAGGUGUUCCUGUAAAGUGGGAAGGUGGUCCCACCCCCCCCUUGCCCCAACAAAGACAUGGUGACACUGGUCAAGGCCAUGGGAAGCCGGGCUGAGCCACCUCUGCAGUCCUCCAGCCAGCACUUCAGAGUACUGGCUGUCAACCAUGGGACAACUUUUUCCUCAUUUUGUGCCUUCAGAAUUCAGAACGACCAGACAGUACAAGACAGGCGUCUAGCUUCUGUGGGGCCCUGAAGAACUUCCUUCCGGGUCUCAGACACAACG
rnacentral:lncRNA from 1 species